rnacentral:rRNA from 1 species
UACGGGGGGGGCAAGCGUUGUUCGGAAUUACUGGGCGUAAAGGGCCCGUAGGCGGCCAACUCAGUCGGAUGUGAAAUCCCCAGGCUCAACUUGGGAACUGCAUCCGAUACUGGAUGGCUUGAAUCCGGGAGAGGGAUGCAGAAUUCCAGGUGUAGCGGUGAAAUGCGUAGAUAUCUGGAGGAAUACCGGUGGCGAAGGCGGCAUCCGGGACCGGCAUUGACGCUGAACGGCGAAAGCUAGGGGAGCAAACGGG